rnacentral:rRNA from 1 species
GAUAAACGCUGGCGGCAUGCCUUACACAUGCAAGUCGAACGGUAACAGGUCUUCGGAUGCUGACGAGUGGCGAACGGGUGAGUACUACACCGGAACGUGCCUAGUAGUGGGGGAUAACUACUCGAAAGAGUGGCUAAUACCGCAUGAGAUCUACGGAUGAAAGCAGGGGAUCGCAAGACCUUGUGCUACUAGAGCGGCCGAUGGCAGAUUAGGUAGUUGGUGGGAUAAAAGCUUACCAAGCCGACGAUCUGUAGCUGGUCUGAGAGGACGAUCAGCCACACUGGGACUGAGAAACGGCCCAGACUCCUACGGGAGGCAGCAGUGGGGAAUUUUGGACAAUGGGCGCAAGCCUGAUCCAGCAAUGCCGCGUGCAGGAUGAAGGCCUUCGGGUUGUAAACUGCUUUUGUACGGAACGAAAAGCCCCGGGUUAAUACCCUGGGGUCAUGACGGUACCGUAAGAAUAAGCACCGGCUAACUACGUGCCAGCCGCCGCGGUAA